rnacentral:rRNA from 1 species
CGUCAGCGGCAGACGGGUGAGUAACGCGUGGGAACGUACCUUUUGGUUCGGAACAACACAGGGAAACUUGUGCUAAUACCGGAUAAGCCCUUACGGGGAAAGAUUUAUCGCCGAAAGAUCGGCCCGCGUCUGAUUAGCUUGUUGGUGAGGUAACGGCUCACCAAGGCGACGAUCAGUAGCUGGUCUGAGAGGAUGAUCAGCCACAUUGGGACUGAGACACGGCCCAAACUUCUACGGGAGGCAGCAGUGGGGAAUAUUGGACAAUGGGCGCAAGCCUGAUCCAGCCAUGCCGCGUGAGUGAUGAAGGCCCUAGGGUUGUAAAGCUCUUUUGUGCGGGAAGAUAAUGACGGUACCGCAAGAAUAAGCCCCGGCUAACUUCGUGCCAGCAGCCGCGGUAAUACGAAGGGGGCUAGCGUUGCUCGGAAUCACUGGGCGUAAAGGGUGCGUAGGCGGGUCUUUAAGUCAGAGGUGAAAGCCUGGAGCUCAACUCCAGAACUGCCUUUGAUACUGAGGAUCUUGAGUUCGGGAGAGGUGAGUGGAACUGCGAGUGUAGAGGUGAAAUUCGUAGAUAUUCGCAAGAACACCAGUGGCGAAGGCGGCUCACUGGCCCGAUACUGACGCUGAGGCACGAAAGCGUGGGGAGCAACAGG